rnacentral:rRNA from 1 species
UUGCAUAUCCAAUUUUGUUCUUAGUUUAUUCUGAGUUCUUUUGUUCUUAGUUUAUUCUAAAUUCUUUUUAAUAAGUAAACCAAAUUGAGUAAUUUUUAUUAAGUUAAAAAUUCGUUUACA